UACGUAGGGUGCGAGCGUUGUCCAGAAUUACUGGGCGUAAAGAGCUCGUAGGUGGUUUGUCGCGUUGUCCGUGAAAACUCACAGCUUAACUGUGGGCGUGCGGGCGAUACGGGCAGACUGGAGUACUGCAGGGGAGACUGGAAUUCCUGGUGUAGCGGUGGAAUGCGCAGAUAUCAGGAGGAACACCGGUGGCGAAGGCGGGUCUCUGGGCAGUAACUGACGCUGAGGAGCGAAAGCGUGGGGAGCGAACAGG
rnacentral:rRNA from 1 species